AUUAGGUAUCAUCAUGUAUUUUAAACUUGUAUUGGCUUCAGUUGGUCUCAUGUGUGUAGGUGUUGCCUCAGGUUCGGACACAACAUACUGCUAUGGUUGCGAGGGUAGGUCCGACAGUUCCCCUACACUCCUUAAUAAAUGUCGUAAGUUGAUUAAUAUUACCGUACAGAGCAAUUAUCCAGGACGUGUAUAUUGCGUAUUUUAUUUUGGAACUGAGACCAAAGACGGUAAGAGCGUUGAUUUUACGAAGAGACUGGCUUCUUCCCGUGAUUGUGCUUGGCAUAGAACCAAUAACGGAGCAAACAAGUUCUGUUCGUAUUGCGACACAGGUAACUAUUGCAAUACUGACACUUAUUGAUCAAUAAGACCGAGCCUUUAUAAGGAUUGUAAACGUUUUUCUGCAAUCGAUCACUAAUUAUGUUAUUAUUCUUUAAUAUUUUUGUUCUUUUUUGUUUGACAUUA